GUAAUUGGCAGCAUUUCCAUAUAUUUCCAUGCCGGAUUAUGCCAUAAAUUUACUUGGCUCCAAACAGGGAUGCUCACAGUAGGGAAUGUGGUAGAGGAAUAGGGCCCAGGUGGAGGGAGCAGGGGAGUGCCCCCAGAUCUAGGCCUAAGCAUCUUGGAACAUCCCUCCAGCCCCUUCACCCCAAAACUGGUCUCUCCCAGCCCCACAGGCUGACUGUCCCUGGGGGAGGCCUGAGGAUCUGUGGUCCGGAGCAGCCCCGAGGAGCAGAGGAAUCCCAGGAAGAAGACAACAUACACUGAAGUCCUGCACAGGGUUCAGAGAGAGGAAUUCUAGUGAAGAAACACAGCACAGAAAAAUUUGCACGAGAGCAGCAAGCCAGAGGAACAGAGCUUCCCACUCUUCCCGCUUUGUCCCUCUAAGACCCAGAACCAACUGUUGAAAAAAACCCAAGCCGUGGCCAGCUCCCCAUACCCGCAGCCACACCACAGAGUCACGUUAAGCCAGGGAGCGAGGCCGCUGCCAGCAAACCCAGGCAAUUUCCCUCCAGCUGCCUACCUCCCCCUCAGUUUACUGGCCUUGCCCACGACAGACGUAACACCUUGAUCUCUUACUCCUAAACAGCCGCCUACACAAUGCUAAUGUCACCGCGCCAGCAGAGCAGGGGAACAGGGCCCGUGACUGGGUGCUGCAGGAAGGCACCUGGGACAAAAUUCACCUCUGCAGCUGUAGAUCUCCGUCCGGGUCAAGUCGGUUGCCCGUGGAACUGACUUGGGAAGAGCAGAGAGGGGAGAGCCAAGCGCCCCGUCCCUCCUCACCUGCUCUAUCAGCCAAGUCUCAGACUGAGGCUGCCAGGACCCAGAUUCUUCCACUAACAAUUAAUCGUUAUCGGCUGGUCUAGGCAAUGAGUGCAUGAACCGGACUGGGCUGGGGCAAGAGACAGGAAUGAGCUAGAGCCCCAUGAACGUGACCCAGCCCGCAGAAUUUCCCUCU
rnacentral:lncRNA from 1 species